GACAGAGGGGGCAAGCGUUGCUCGGAAUCACUGGGCGUAAAGGGCGCGUAGGCGGGAUGGCAAGUCGGUCGUGAAAUCCUUCGGCUCAACCGAAGAACGUCGGCCGAUACUGCCGUUCUUGAGGGAUGCAGAGGAGAGUGGAAUUCCCGGUGUAGCGGUGAAAUGUGUAGAGAUCGGGAGGAACACCGGUGGCGAAGGCGGCUCUCUGGGACGGUACUGACGCUGAGACGCGAAAGCGUGGGGAGCGAACAGG
rnacentral:rRNA from 1 species